rnacentral:tRNA from 1 species
GGGCUUGUAGCUCAGCUAGGUAGAGCAAUCGGCUCUUAACCGAUUGGUCGGGGGUUCGAAUCCCCUCAAGCCCG